rnacentral:lncRNA from 1 species
AUUUAUUAAUCAUUCUUACCCAUGCCCAAACCAGAAAAGAUUUCAAAUAUCUAUCAGUGCCCUGUGCGCACAAAUGGCCUGAGGGUACUGCCUGUCCCUGUCCACUGCUGAGGCUCCCUGGCAUACCCAAGACCACCACGUCAUCUCAGUGCCACUAGUCCCUGCCUCAGUAAGGCAGCGAGGCUGGACUUCAGCUCCCCACAACCCUGCCCUGCCUGGCCAUGGCCCCCAAACAGCCAGGCCCAUCUCACGGCCCAUGCACGGCCUGGCCUCAGCCUGUUCCAGAGCUGGGGCUGCCCUGGUGCCCCUGACUGCCUGCUCCUAGCUGAGUGAUGGGACAAGCCUUGCUGUCAGGAAUGGUUUCUGCACUUCAAGCAGGAAUAUCUAGUAGGGAUCAUACUCGGAUGGGGAGAGAACAGAAGCACAGAGAAGCUCAGAUUCUACAGUACAGUGAGGUGCCAGACUCCCACGUGGCAGAAAUUCCUCCAUGUGUUGGAGGGUCUGAGCGUGGCUUGGUUCAAAUCACACAGAAAGCACGUGGCAGACUGGGGAAUCCAGACUAUGAAUUGGCCUCCUGUGUCUCUAGUGAAAACGGGCUUGGAGGGCGUGCAUUUAAUGGCCAUCCAGAAACAAGAAGCAAAGAUGGUAAGCAAGAAGGACUGGAAAAGAGUGCUACAUUUCUUAUGUAGGGUCUUUACUGGAUCUAACUAAAGCGUGGCUGUACCAUACAACAUGAAUUGUUACUGCACUCAGAAGAGGCUGUUCAUUGGAAGAUACUCAAAUUAAAACCAGAGUUAUGUAUUUUCAAGAUCUGUGGGGCAAAGGGAAAGAAUAUUCAUACCAAACAUUUUUAACAUGUACAUACUGGUAUUAUUGGCCCCAGCUCCUGACUCAGUGACAAAAGCAUAUGUGCAAAAAGUGGUUUCUUUCCCUCAAAGUUCACUGUUUGGACUGUGCAUGCUGAAUGCCUUUUGUUAAUCUUCUCUUUAAGCACAGGAGCAGAUCUGCCACAGUCUCCAUACACCUUGCCUUUCCUUUUGAAUCACAAAGGAUUCACUUUACUUAUAACAGCCUGACUA